UACGAAGGGGGCUAGCGUUGUUCGGAUUUACUGGGCGUAAAGCGCGUGUAGGCGGAUCGUUAAGUCGGGGGUGAAAGCCCAGAGCUCAACUCUGGAAUUGCCUUCGAUACUGGCGGUCUGGAGCAGAGAAGAGGCGAGUGGAAUUCCGAGUGUAGAGGUGAAAUUCGUAGAUAUUCGGAGGAACACCAGUGGCGAAGGCGGCUCGCUGGUCUCUUGCUGACGCUGAGACGCGAAAGCUAGGGGAGCGAACGGG
rnacentral:rRNA from 1 species